UACGGAGGGUGCGAGCGUUGUCCGGAAUCAUUGGGCGUAAAGCGCGUGUAGGCGGUUCGGUAAGUCUGCUGUGAAAGUCCAGGGCUCAACCCUGGGAUGCCGGUGGAUACUGUCGGACUAGAGUACGGAAGAGGCGAGUGGAAUUCCCGGUGUAGCGGUGAAAUGCGCAGAUAUCGGGAGGAACACCAAUUGCAAAGGCAGCUCGGCUGGGACGGUACUGACGCUGAGACGCGAAAAGCGUGGGGAGCGAACAGGG
rnacentral:rRNA from 1 species